rnacentral:rRNA from 1 species
CACGUAGGGGGCGAGCGUUGUCCGGAUUUAUUGGGCGUAAAGAGCUCGUAGGCGGUUUCGUAAGUCGGAUGUGAAAACUCCAGGCUCAACUUGGAGACGCCAUUCGAUACUGCGAUGACUUGAGUCCGGUAGGGGAGUGUGGAAUUCCUGGUGUAGCGGUGAAAUGCGUAGAUAUCGAGAGGAACACCUGCGGCGAAGGCGGGUUGCUGGGCUGAUACUGACGCUGAGGCGCGAAAGCCAGGGGAGCGAACGGG